CCGCUAGAUUAAAACUGACGUGGAAAGGUAACACAUGCCCACCGAAAGCUCCUUUUUUGAGAGCCCAGGUGGUCGUGUGGUCUAGCGGGACGGCUGCAGUGCAGGCGAUUUGGUGUCACGAUAUCACAGUAGCAUGGGUUCGAAUCCCGGCAAGGGAAGAACCAAAAAUUUGCGAAAGCAAAUUUACAGAUCUAACAUUGUUGGGUUGAUGUUUAGACGAGUUGUAUAUAUAUAUAUAUAUAUAUAUAUAUAUAUAUAUAUACGCGCACAUAGAUUGAAAAGGAGGCCUUAGCUAGAUAAAAUGUCAAGUGUACUUGUAGGUAUAAUUAUGUAAUCUCAUUGUUUGACCUUAUGAUGUAAUGAAUCUAACAAUUAAACUAUGAAUCAAAGGCAUAAAGAAAUUAAGAUUUAUUUGGCUGUAAAUUUGUCAUGGCAUUUAUUGCAACAAAGAAACACAACCAACUUGUCAAUCAAAACUUGAUGACGAUUGAAUUACUGAAGGGCGAUCCAGCAGUAAUAAAGUUAUAUCAGGAGCCACUGGGUAAUCCAUAGCAGCUUAAAGUAAAUUCGGCCAAAAUUACCAGUAGAGUAACUAGUUGCGCGACUGGUAAUCCGCCAUAACAUUUACCGCAUGACAAAUUUAACAGCAAGAAUCAACAUUUCAAAUAACAUCAACUACAAAAUCAAUAUCAUUAUCAACUUCAACAACAUUAUCAAC
rnacentral:lncRNA from 1 species